rnacentral:rRNA from 1 species
CACCGCGGUUAUACGAGUGACUCACAUUAAUACUUCCCGGCGUAAAGAGUGGUUUAAGAAAUUUUUGCCUUUUAUAAAUAAAGUUAAGACCUCAUCAAGCUGUUAUACGCACCCAUGAGUGGAAUAAACAACAACGAAAGUGACUUUAUAGAAAAGGGGGCCUUGAUGCCACGAUAGUUGAAACC